rnacentral:rRNA from 1 species
AUUGAACGCUGGCGGAAUGCUUUACACAUGCAAGUCGAGCGGCAGCGCGGCCUUCGGGCUGGCGGCGAGCGGCGAACGGGUGAGUAAUGCAUCGGAACAUGCCCAGUCGUGGGGGAUAACACUUCGAAAGAAGUGCUAAUACCGCAUACGUCCUGAGGGGGAAAGCGGGGGAUCGCAAGACCUCGCGCGAUUGGAGUGGCCGAUGUCGGAUUAGCUAGUUGGUGGGGUAAAGGCCUACCAAGGCGACGAUCUGUAGCUGGUCUGAGAGGAUGAUCAGCCACACUGGAACUGAGACACGGCCCAGACUCCUACGGGAGGCAGCAGUGGGGAAUUUUGGACAAUGGGGGCAACCCUGAUCCAGCCAUUCCGCGUGAGUGAAGAAGGCCUUCGGGUUGUAAAGCUCUUUCGGCAGGAACGAAACGGUGGGCUCUAACAUAGUCCGCUAAUGACGGUACCUGAAGAAGAAGCACCGGCUAACUACGUG